CAGCAGCCGCGGGAAUACGGAGGAUCCAAGCGUUAUCCGGAUUUAUUGGGUUUAAAGGGUGCGUAGGUGGCCUGUUAAGUCAGGGGUGAAGGACGGUAGCUCAACUAUCGCAGUGCCCUUGAUACUGAUGGGCUUGAAUGAACUAGAGGUAGGCGGAAUGUGACAAGUAGCGGUGAAAUGCAUAGAUAUGUCACAGAACACCAAUUGCGAAGGCAGCUUACUAUGUUGUCAUUGACACUGAGGCACGAAAGCGUGGGGAUCAAACAGGAUUAGAUACCCCAGUAGUCCCUGUCUCUUAUAC
rnacentral:rRNA from 1 species